CUGCCCUUGAAUUGGGGAUAACAUCGCGAAAGUGAUGCUAAUACCGGAUAAUAUCUUAAAAAUCUCGGUUUUAAAGAUCAAAGGUGGCCUCUACAUGUAAGCUACUGUUUGGGGAUGAGCCCGCGUACCAUUAGCUUGUUGGUAGGGUAAUGGCCUACCAAGGCUGCGAUGGUUAGCUGGUCUGAGAGGAUGAUCAGCCACACUGGAACUGACACACGGUCCAG
rnacentral:rRNA from 1 species